CCUACGGGAGGCAGCAGUGGGGAAUAUUGCACAAUGGGGGAAACCCUGAUGCAGCGACGCCGCGUGAGUGAAGAAGUAUUUCGGUAUGUAAAGCUCUAUCAGCAGGGAAGAAAUUGUCGCUACCUGGUUAGCAGACGCCAGCUAACUACGUGCCAGCAGCCGCCGUAGUACGUAGGGGGCAAGCGUUAUCCGGAUUUACUGCGUGUAAAGGGAGCGUAGACGGCAGCACAAGUCUGGAGUGAAAUGCCGGGGCUUAACCAUGGAACUGCUUUGGAAACUGUGCAGCUAGAGUGCAGGAGAGGUAAGCGGAAUUCCUAGUGUAGCGGUGAAAUGCGUAGAUAUUAGGAGGAACACCAGUGGCGAAGGCGGCUUACUGGACUGUAACUGACGUUGAGGCUCGAAAGCGUGGGGAGCAAACAGGAUUAGAUACCCGUGUAGUC
rnacentral:rRNA from 1 species